rnacentral:pre_miRNA from 7 species
UUCUCUGAAGAUGGCUGAGCAUGUAAGACCCCCUUUCCGGGACCCCCACUCUAGUCUCAGGAGAGAGAGCACACCCAAAGAAACACAAGAAUCC